CGCAGGCGCGGGGCGGUGGCGGAAUGUCGGUGGUGUUCGUGCCGGAGCGGCUGCGCGGCAAGGCGGAGGUGAACCAGGAGACGCUGCAGCGGCUGCUGGAGGAGAACGACCAGCUGAUCCGGUGCAUCGUGGAGUACCAGAGCAAGGGCCGCGCCACCGACUGCGUGCAGUACCAGCAUAUCCUGCACAGAAACCUCAUUUAUUUAGCCACAAUUGCAGAUGCGACGCCACCCAGCGCGCAGAAGACUACAGAGUGACUGCACGUACCCGGCUGCAGGCUGCCCUGCUUUACAGAGAAGGGCUUUAGUUUACAUUGCCACUGUGGGAGGGAGAAAGUGUAGUCACACAAGGCAGAAGCUUUAAAAUACAAAAUGUACAAUUCCAGUUCAGAAGCAUUAGCUAUUCACAGAAGCACUGCAAUAAGGCAGCGACGAGGUCUGGCCCUGAGAACAUGGAGAACAAGCUGUCCCCAUUGGCUGAGGAGGUCUCAUCACUCGAGCUGGCAGAAUCUCCUUGAGUACCAGACCAGCUGUUUGUCACAUCACUAUGGCAUGUCAACUUGGUUCCCAAAGUCUGAGAUUUCACGCUGCAACUGGAUCUGAAUACAAGGCAAAGCUUGCUCCCUGCAUCAACAAAAACAUGUAUCAAACCACCCAACAAAUCCCAUUUAUCCUAACGCUGCACUGGAUACGUAAAGACAUUUAACUGAGUUUUUAUUUUGCAGAAAAACGUGCAUUUGGGCAAUAGAAAGUGGAAGAAAUAAAACUGGACUCCUCUAUUAGAUUGCUAGUUCACUGGCUACUCACAAUAACAAUUCAAACUAUUACUACCCACAGUCAUGGGUAAUGUGCUCUACAGCAGCCUGCUUGUAUGAGACGUUGGACGAGAUGAUCCCCAGAGCUCCCUUCCAAUCCCAACUAUUCUGUAACUCUGUGAUAUGCAGUAGCAUUUACUAUUCUCCUAAAGAAUUUUUAAUUGCACUUCAA